rnacentral:tRNA from 1 species
GGGCUUGUAGCUCAGCUGGGAGAGCGCCGCGUUCGCAACGCGGAGGUCGAGGGUUCGAGCCCCUUCAGGUCCACCA